ACGGGUGAGUAACACGUAGGUAACCUGCCUAUGAGACUGGGAUAACUAUCGGAAACGAUAGCUAAGACCGGAUAACUGGUUUUCUCGCAUGAGAGAAUCAUGAAACACGGAGCAAUCUGUGGCUUAUAGGUGGGCCUGCGGCGCAUUAGCUAGUUGGUAGGGUAAUGGCCUACCAAGGCGACGAUGCGUAGCCGACCUGAGAGGGUGACCGGCCACACUGGGACUGAGACACGGCCCAGACUCCUACGGGAGGCAGCAGUAGGGAAUCUUCCGCAAUGGACGCAAGUCUGACGGAGCAACGCCGCGUGAGUGAUGAAGGUUUUCGGAUCGUAAAGCUCUGUUGCCCUAGACGAACAGCAUGAGGAGUAACUGCCUUGUGUGUGACGGUAUAGGAGAAGAAAGCCCCGGCUAACUACGUGCCAGCAGCCGCGGUAAUACGUAGGGGGCAAGCGUUGUCCGGAAUUAUUGGGCGUAAAGCGCGCGCAGGCGGUUAAUUAAGUUGGGUGUUUAAGCCCGGGGCUCAACCCCGGUUCGCAUCCAAAACUGGUUGACUUGAGUGUAGGAGAGGAAAGUGGAAUUCCACGUGUAGCG
rnacentral:rRNA from 1 species